AGUGAACGCUGGCGGUAGGCCUAACACAUGCAAGUCGAACGGCAGCACAGUAAGAGCUUGCUCUUACGGGUGGCGAGUGGCGGACGGGUGAGGAAUACAUCGGCAUCUACUUUUUCGUGGGGGAUAACGUAGGGAAACUUACGCUAAUACCGCAUACGACCUACGGGUGAAAGCAGGGGAUCUUCGGACCUUGCGCGAUUGAAUGAGCCGAUGUCGGAUUAGCUAGUUGGCGGGGUAAAGGCCCACCAAGGCGACGAUCCGUAGCUGGUCUGAGAGGAUGAUCAGCCACACUGGAACUGAGACACGGUCCAGACUCCUACGGGAGGCAGCAGUGGGGAAUAUUGGACAAUGGGCGCAAGCCUGAUCCAGCCAUACCGCGUGGGUGAAGAAGGCCUUCGGGUUGUAAAGCCCUUUUGUUGGGAAAGAAAGGCAGCAGGUUAAUACCCCGCUGUUCUGACGGUACCCAAAGAAUAAGCACCGGCUAACUUCGUG
rnacentral:rRNA from 1 species